AGAGUUUGAUCAUGGCUCAGGACGAACGCUGGCGGCGUGCUUAACACACGCAAGUCGAACGGAAAGGCCCUUCGGGGUACUCGAGUGGCGAACGGGUGAGUAACACGUGGGUGAUCUGCCCUGCACUUUGGGAUAAGCCUGGGAAACUGGGUCUAAUACCGAAUAGGACCGCGCGCUUCAUGGUGUGUGGUGGAAAGCUUUUGUGGUGUGGGAUGGGCCCGCGGCCUAUCAGCUUGUUGGUGGGGUAAUGGCCUACCAAGGCGACGACGGGUAGCCGGCCUGAGAGGACGAUCAGCCACACUGGCACUGCGACACGGGCCAGACUCCUACGGGAGGCAGCAGUGGAGAAUAUUGCACAAUGGGCGCAAGCCUGAUGCAGCGACGCCGCGUGAGGGAUGACGGCCUUCGGGUUGUAAACCUCUUUCAAUAGGGACGAAGCGCAAGUGACGGUACCUAUAGAAGAAGGACCGGCCAACUACGUGCCAGCAGCCGCGGUAAUACGUAGGGUCCGAGCGUUGUCCGGAAUUACUGGGCGUAAAGAGCUCGUAGGUGGUUUGUCGCGUUGUUCGUGAAAACUCACAGCUUAACUGUGGGCGUGCGGGCGAUACGGGCAGACUAGAGUACUGCAGGGGAGACUGGAAUUCCUGGUGCAGCGGUGGAAUGCGCAGAUAUCAGGAGGAACACCGGUGGCGAAGGCGGGUCUCUGGGCAGUAACUGACGCUGAGGAGCGAAAGCGUGGGUAGCGAACAGGAUUAGAUACCCUGGUAGUCCAA
rnacentral:rRNA from 1 species